ensembl:misc_RNA 7SK 7SK RNA
GGAUGUGAGGGCGAUCUGGCUGCGACAUCUGUCACCCCAUUGAUCGCCAGGGUUGAUUCGGCUGAUCUGGCUGGCUAGGCGGGUGUCCCCCUCCUCCCUCACCAAUCCAUGUGCGUCCCUCCCGAAGCUGCGCGCUCGGUCGAAGAGGACGACCUUCCCCCCCGAGGAGAGGACCGGUCUUCGGUCAAGGGUAUACGAGUAGCUGCGCUCCCCUGCUAGAACCUCCAAACAAGCUCUCAAGAUAUUGACAUAUAGCAUUUUCAGGUAUACAACAUGAUUUGAUAUAUGUGUAUAUUGAAA